rnacentral:rRNA from 1 species
GAUGAACGCUAGCGGCAGGCCUAAUACAUGCAAGUCGAACGGUGUCUUCGGACAUAGUGGCGCACGGGUGCGUAACACGUAUGCAACCUACCUUACAUUGGGGGAUAGCCUUUCGAAAGGGAGAUUAAUACCGCAUAAGACAGUAGCUGGGCAUCCAGCAGCUGUUAAAGAUUUAUCGAUGUAAGCUGGGCAUGCGUCCAAUUAGCUAGUUGGUGAGGUAACGGCUCACCAAGGCAAUGAUUGGUAGGGGAACUGAGAGGUCAAUCCCCCACAUUGGCAGUGAGAUACGGGCCAGACUCCUGCGGGAGGCAGCAGUAGGGAAUAUUGGGCAAUGGACGCAAGUCUGACCCAGCCAUGCCGCGUGCAGGAUGAAGGCGUUAUGCGUUGUAAACUGCUUUUAUACAGGAAGAAACGACUCUUGCGAGAGGCAUUGACGGUACUGUAUGAAUAAGCACCGGCUAACUCCGUGCCAGCCGCCGCAGUAAAAC